GAACUCAGUUUAAAAGAUUCGUCGAAUACGGAUUGGCUCGCGUGGCAUUAGCUAGUCGGCGGGGUAACGGCCCACCGAGGCAACGAUGCCUAGGGGUUCUGAGAGGAAGACCCCCCACAUUGGGACUGAGACACGGCCCAAACUCCUACGGGAGGCAGCAGUGAGGAAUAUUGGUCAAUGGACGGAAGUCUGAACCAGCCAUGCCGCGUGAAGGAUGACGGCCCUAUGGGUUGUAAACUUCUUUUGUGACAGAGCAAUAAGGUGUACGUGUACACCGAUGAGAGUAUGCCACGAAUAAGCAUCGGCUAACUCCGUGCCAGCAGCCGCGGUAGUACGGAGGAUGCAAGCGUUAUCCGGAUUUAUUGGGUUUAAAGGGUGCGUAGGCUGUGUAUCAAGUCAGCGGUGAAAGACCGGGGCCCAACCUCGGAAGUGCCAUUGAUACUGAUAUGCUGGAGUACCCCUGCCGUGGGAGGAAUGAGUGGUGUAGCGGUGAAAUGCAUAGAUAUCACUCAGAACACCGAUUGCGAAGGCAUCUCACGAAAGGGCAACUGACGCUGAGGCACGAAAGCGUGGGGAUCAA
rnacentral:rRNA from 1 species